GUUCAACUGCUGUUUCCCAAUGAGUUCUUUGUCAUAGAAUGACCUUUUGGUAGCAGUACUGAAUAAUAAAAAAAUUGUUGCUGUUUGCGCGUCUCCGUCGUCCCUCACUCUUGCGUUUCUUUCAACCGGUAAGAUGUCCCCUUCUCCCUCUUAAUCAUUUUCUCAAUUAAGUUCUAAUUUACAUUUCUGUCAAUUAAAUGCCUAUUGACCUGACAAAUAAUGGUUUGAAAGUGAGUCAAUAAUCAAUAGAAUCAUCAGCACAAACAUGUUAAUGAGAAUUUUUUGAUGCUUGAUUAGCCUGCUAAAGGUAAAAGAAAUUAAAAAAAGUUGUUCGGAGUGAGAGGUUUGAUUGCUUGCUUGGAACCUUACUCUUUUUUUAGGUAGUAGAGAUAUGCAUAUUUGCAACGUAUCUUCACUGAGGAAAUGUUGGCUUGUUCUCAUCACUGGACCUUGUCUUUAUAACUGUCCUGCAUUCUUGAAUUUGAUGGUGCUUGCAAUGGAAAUCCUGGGAAACCAGGCGCUGGUGUAAUAAUAAGGCGUUUGGAUGGAUCUGUGGUAUAUAUGUACACCAACAGUUACUAUGCUGGUAUUUUUCUUAGUGGUUAGUUACUUUAACUGAAGAUUGCUCAACUACGAGAGUUUUUGGGUAUUGCAACGAAUAAUGGUGUUGAAUGUCGUGCAUUGCUGCUGGAGUUAACAUAUGCUGCUAAGAAGGCAUUCAAAUAUGUUUGUGGUCAAAUCAAAAGAGGUCGAAUUGCUUCUGCUUUUAUUUUGUAUUAUUUUAUCAUCAUGGUCCUCAGUUUAUCCUCGCCAAGAGAAAGUUUUAUGCUGCAUCUGUUAACACAUUUAUAUAUAGGUUAAGGUGCCCCACAGCCUAGUAUUUUAUUUGGGCAAGGAAUAAUUGGAUAACAGUCUUAAUUUAUAGAAAAUCUGGUGAAACUAAUCAGAGCUCUUUGAAGAGUUACUCCAGUUGCUGGAGGCUUUAUUAGUAUUCAGUUUUCUUAUCUUAGCAUAAGUAACACACUUAAAUUUCGGGAGCCGGUCCAAGAUCUCUGGUGUGCUAGGAAUGAUAACAUGGUUGACUUGUGCAAGAAAUUUAAGGAAAUGAAGGGAAAUUUUCUUCAGUUUCAAAUCAACCAUGUUUUCGGGGUAGCUAUCCUAUCUUUUCAUUACCUUGUGAUCUGAUUCAAACUUGCUUGUACCAGCCAGUUUGGGGAUCUGUUAUGAAAGCUUGGUGCAUGCUUGUGCUCUUGUACAAAAGCCUACACUUGACUGAAUGACUUGUGAUUUGGCUCGGAUCACGCAUGAGAGUGCAAACUUUUUAUUCUUGUUUGGUUUAGCCUGAUUUGUGCUCUGCACAUUUCUUUCUAUGAACGUCACAGCGGGUGGAACGUUGUUGCUUGCCUGCGCGCUAUGUAUCAGUCGGCGCUACUCGAUUUGUUGCUAUUUAGGUCGUUGUAGGAAUUAACUAGCGUACUUUCUUGUAAUCUAUGGCAACGGCAUGACUGUAGCAUAUAGAAUGGGGCUGGUUCAUGGAACUCGUGAGGACACAAUUUUUGGUAUAUGAGCAUAAUAAGUUACUUAAUUAUGAUAAUGUUGCAGACUGGGCACGACGGUGGGUGAGGCGGGAUAGGUGGCACUGGGGCGCAGUGGAGUGGCUAGGCGGGAAUGUCUCGGCAGGGGACGGCGACCAUCGCAUCCGCUGAUAUGUUCACCAUCAUCAUUUAUAUGUAAUCUCAAAAACAAAUAAAUGCAUCCAGAUCUUGCAGGUUACACCAGGUUCUGUAGCUAUUAUUAUAUCUGUAAUUUCUAGCUUUCAUGUAAUUUAUCACCAUUUAAUUACUAUAUGUGAUAGAUAUUUCUCUACUUAUUUUUAUCUUAUAUGAUGUGUUGUUCUACCUACGUAUGUUGCAUUCAGAGUACCGUUAGUUCUUGUAUGCUUGCAUCUUUGAUUGCGUAGACAUGCAGAGUGUCCUUUAAAUUUCUGUUAUUAUAGUUGGGAGGGUUACUCCUCAUUCUGGAGCCCCAAGUCAGAUUGAUAGAUUUUAUAUAUGUAAACAUGAUGACCUUAUCAGUACCUUUGCCACUAUCUCUCUUUUGUUUGUGUAAUCCUACAGCCCGAUCAGCUUCAAAUACCUACUCUGACAGACAAUUCACGUUAAACUCGAUUAUUAACAUCCCUAUUCGUUGCAUUAAUUAUUUAUUUCUAGAGAUUUCUUUCUCAUAGCUGUUAUAUUCUUCCUUGCCCAUAAAUUAUUAUUUUGUUUAAUGAUAUCAAGCAUUCUUAUCUGGUAGAUCAGGCUGGUGACAAUGUCCAUCUGGAUGAGCAGGGGCAUGAUCUUUACAAUGAAGCACAAAGUUUGUCAGACAUUCUUGAUAAAGAGUCGAUAUAUCUAACUAUCUAAGGUGUGCCUGAUUAUACUGAAUGUUGCUCCCUUGCUUCCUUGACAUAUAUAUGGUUUUCUUUAACAUCUGAUCUCCAUGUCGUGUGAUAGCUACCAUUGAUGAAGUUACAAGAUGGUGAAAAUAAGCAGAAUGAUAUUUCAGUGGCUGAAGUGCUAGAAGAACCAGGAAGUUACUAGCAUCAAAAGGAAAAGAGAGCAAGGGGAUCUCAAACGUGUAAAAUCAUAUUGCCCAGUUAGAGAUUCCUAGGAGUUGUUUGUGCUAUUUUUUUAAGAUUACAUUGGUGAGUCGCUUUUUUUCUUUUCUCUCUAGGAGUAUGUCUCAAUAUGCAGCCUUUUGCUGUAUCAACAUUUUUUGUAAUCUUUCUAUUUCUGUAUAUUUAUGAGACCAUUUAUUUCAUUCUACAAUUAUGCUCCUGUCUUUGAUCCAGCAACAUACUACUUUCAAUAGUAUUACAUAGUUAUCCAUUGAC
rnacentral:lncRNA from 1 species